AAGAAGCACCGGCUAACUCCGUGCCAGCAGCCGCGGUAAUACGGAGGGUGCGAGCGUUAAUCGGAAUUACUGGGCGUAAAGCGCAUGCAGGUGGUUUGUUAAGUCAGAUGUGAAAGCCCGGGGCUCAACCUCGGAACUGCAUUUGAAACUGGCAGACUAGAGUACUGUAGAGGGGGGUAGAAUUUCAGGUGUAGCGGUGAAAUGCGUAGAGAUCUGAAGGAAUACCGGUGGCGAAGGCGGCCCCCUGGACAGAUACUGACACUCAGAUGCGAAAGCGUGGGGAGCAAACAGGAUUAGAUACCCUGGUAGUCCACGCUGUAAACGAUGUCUACUUGGAGGUUGUGGCCUUGAGCCGUGGCUUUCGGAGCUAACGCGUUAAGUAGACCGCCUGGGGAGUACGGUCGCAAGAUUAAAACUCAAAUGAAUUGACGGGGGCCCGCACAAGCGGUGGAGCAUGUGGUUUAAUUCGAUGCAACGCGAAGAACCUUACCUACUCUUGACAUCCAGAGAAGCCAGCGGAGACGCAGGUGUGCCUUCGGGAACUCUGAGACAGGUGCUGCAUGGCUGUCGUCAGCUCGUGUUGUGAAAUGUUGGGUUAAGUCCCGCAACGAGCGCAACCCUUAUCCUUGUUUGCCAGCGAGUAAUGUCGGGAACUCCAGGGAGACUGCCGGUGAUAAACCGGAGGAAGGUGGGGACGACGUCAAGUCAUCAUGGCCCUUACGAGUAGGGCUACACACGUGCUACAAUGGCGCAUACAGAGGGCGGCCAACUUGCGAAAGUGAGCGAAUCCCAAAAAGUGCGUCGUAGUCCGGAUUGGAGUCUGCAACUCGACUCCAUGAAGUCGGAAUCGCUAGUAAUCGUGGAUCAGAAUGCCACGGUGAAUACGUUCCCGGGCCUUGUACACACCGCCCGUCACACCAUGGGAGUGGGCUGCAAAAGAAGUGGGUAGUUUAACCUUCGGGAGGACGCUCACCACUUUGUGGUUCAUGACUGGGGUGAAGUCGUAACAAGGUAGCGCUAGGGGAACCUGGCGCUGGAUCACCUCCUUA
rnacentral:rRNA from 1 species